CUCAUGGCCACCCCCAAUAUCCCUCCUUUUCUCCAAGACCUGAGAGAAGGUGGCACAAGCGCAUGGCAGGCAGGCAGGGCAGCACCUUCUCUGCUGUGCCGCAAUUUGUCAUCCUCCAGGAGCAAGCCCCAGGUUAGGAGGUGGCCAGGUUUCCACACUGCCCCUUGCAGAGCUCUGAAGGCAGUGCUGGCCAGGCUGCUGCUGCGGCAGCAUGGCAGAAAUGCAACCAGCCACCCAUCGUCCUCCCUAUCCUUUGCCCUGUUCCUCCCUGCCCUCACCAACAGCCACUGCUGAUCUGCAUCAAUUCAUCUGCUGUUUUGGUGAGUGCCUACUGUGCACUCCAAUUAAUAGAAUUGCUUUAUUUUGCUGGAGAGAGUGCUGGAGCCCAUGCCACAAACAGCUUUGAAUACUCUGCAUCUCGCCUGCCUGUUUUCAAAAAGGUGACUGCUGAUGACAGCUAAGAUAACAAGAGAGUGGGUUUUGGGGUUUUUUUUUGCCUUCAUGAGAACACCUCCAGUUCUAUUAAUAAAAUCCUGAAUCUGA